rnacentral:rRNA from 1 species
UGUGAGCUCGAUGAGUAGGGCGGGACACGUGGUAUCCUGUCUGAAUAUGGGGGGACCAUCCUCCAAGGCUAAAUACUCCUGACUGACCGAUAGUGAACCAGUACCGUGAGGGAAAGGCGAAAAGAACCCCGGCGAGGGGAGUGAAAAAGAACCUGAAACCGUGUACGUACAAGCAGUGGGAGCACGCUUAGGCGUGUGACUGCGUACCUUUUGUAUAAUGGGUCAGCGACUUAUAUUCUGUAGCAAGGUUAACCGAAUAGGGGAGCCGAAGGGAAACCGAGUCUUAACUGGGCGUUAAGUUGCAGGGUAUAGACCCGAAACCCGGUGAUCUAGCCAUGGGCAGGUUGAAGGUUGGGUAACACUAACUGGAGGACCGAACCGACUAAUGUUGAAAAAUUAGCGGAUGACUUGUGGCUGGGGGUGAAAGGCCAAUCAAACCGGGAGAUAGCUGGUUCUCCCCGAAAGCUAUUUAGGUAGCGCCUCGUGAAUUCAUCUCCGGGGGUAGAGCACUGUUUCGGCAAGGGGGUCAUCCCGACUUACCAACCCGAUGCAAACUGCGAAUACCGGAGAAUGUUAUCACGGGAGACACACGGCGGGUGCUAACGUCCGUCGUGAAGAGGGAAACAACCCAGACCGCCAGCUAAGGUCCCAAAGUCAUGGUUAAGUGGGAAACGAUGUGGGAAGGCCCAGACAGCCAGGAUGUUGGCUUAGAAGCAGCCAUCAUUUAAAGAAAGCGUAAUAGCUCACUGGUCGAGUCGGCCUGCGCGGAAGAUGUAACGGGGCUAAACCAUGCACCGAAGCUGCGGCAGCGACACUAUGUGUUGUUGGGUAGGGGAGCGUUCUGUAAGCCUGUGAAGGUGUGCUGUGAGGCAUGCUGGAGGUAUCAGAAGUGCGAAU